rnacentral:rRNA from 1 species
UGGUGGGUAGUUUGACUGGGGCGGUCUCCUCCUAAAGAGUAACGGAGGAGCACGAAGGUUGGCUAAUCCUGGUCGGACAUCAGGAGGUUAGUGCAAUGGCAUAAGCCAGCUUGACUGCGAGCGUGACGGCGCGAGCAGGUGCGAAAGCAGGUCAUAGUGAUCCGGUGGUUCUGAAUGGAAGGGCCAUCGCUCAACGGAUAAAAGGUACUCCGGGGAUAACAGGCUGAUACCGCCCAAGAGUUCAUAUCGACGGCGGUGUUUGGCACCUCGAUGUCGGCUCAUCACAUCCUGGGGCUGAAGUAGGUCCCAAGGGUAUGGCUGUUCGCCAUUUAAAGUGGUACGCGAGCUGGGUUUAGAACGUCGUGAGACAGUUCGGUCCCUAUCUGCCGUGGGCGCUGGAGAACUGAGGGGGGCUGCUCCUAGUACGAGAGGACCGGAGUGGACGCAUCACUGGUGUUCGGGUUGUCAUGCCAAUGGCACUGCCCGGUAGCUAAAUGCGGAAGAGAUAAGUGCUGAAAGCAUCUAAGCACGAAACUUGCCCCGAGAUGAGUUCUCCCUGAGACUUAGAGUCUCCUGAAGGAACGUUGAAGACGACGACGUUGAUAGGCCGGGUGUGUAAGCGCAGCGAUGCGUUGAGCUAACCGGU